UAGUCCACGCCGUAAACGAUGUCAACUAGCCGUUGGGAGCAUAUAAGCUCUGAGUGGCGCAGCUAACGCGAUAAGUUGACCGCCUGGGGAGUACGCCGGCAACGGUAAAACUCAAAGGAAUUGACGGGGGGCCCGCACAAGCGGUGGAGCAUGUGGUUUAAUUCGAUGAUACGCGAGGAACCUUACCUGGACUUAAAUGUAGGCUGCAUAAUUCAGAGAUGAAUUUUUCUUCGGACUGCUUACAAGGUGCUGCAUGGUUGUCGUCAGCUCGUGCCGUGAGGUGUCGGGUUAAGUCCCAUAACGAGCGCAACCCCUAUCGUUAGUUGCCAUCAGGUUAAGCUGGGGACUCUAACGAAACUGCCUGUGCAAACAGAGAGGAAGGUGGGGAUGACGUCAAAUCAGCACGGCCCUUACGUCCAGGGGCUACACACGUGUUACAAUGGCAUAGACAAAGGGCAGCUACAUAGCGAUAUGAU
rnacentral:rRNA from 1 species